AUGGAUUAGCGGCGGACGGGUGAGUAACACGUGAGUAACCUGCCUUUGACAUAGGGAUAGCCUCGGGAAACUGGGAUUAAUACCAAAUGAAACUAUUUUACCGCAUGGUAGAAUAGUCAAAGAAUAUCGGUCAAAGAUGGACUCGCGGCUGAUUAGCUAGUUGGUGAGGUAACGGCCCACCAAGGCGACGAUCAGUAGCCGGCCUGAGAGGGUGAACGGCCACAUUGGAACUGAGACACGGUCCAAACUCC
rnacentral:rRNA from 1 species